CUGGGGGGUGGUGCUCCGUCAUCGAACGGCCAGUCUAGAACUUGGAUUCCUUCUUUUUCGAUAGGAGCUUUAUCAUAGGUGGCAUCACAGACUCGCACCAAGGUUGUCACUCCAUACUUCUUCAGCUCCUCUAUGAACCUGCAGAGGGUCGCAUUGGUUGGGUUGUGAGUGAUGAGGAAACGCAUCCCGUCAUAGCUGAUUUCCACGGGGGCUGGACGGUUCAUAAUGGCAACAAAACGUGUGAGGGGCCAAAAAAUUAAUUAAAAACAAAAGAAAAAAAAAGAAAAAAGAAAAUUAAAAAAAAAAAUCAAUAACCUUGGAAACGUUUCACAGCAGAAAACAUUAAAAGACCACUAAAUGGCUGGGAUUGAUCAGAGCUUGCGUUGAC
rnacentral:lncRNA from 1 species